rnacentral:rRNA from 1 species
GACGAACGCUGGCGGCGUGCUUAACACAUGCAAGUCGAACGGAAAGGCCCUGCUUUUGUGGGGUGCUCGAGUGGCGAACGGGUGAGUAACACGUGAGUAACCUGCCCUUGACUUUGGGAUAACUUCAGGAAACUGGGGCUAAUACCGGAUAGGAGCUCCUGCUGCAUGGUGGGGGUUGGAAAGUUUCGGCGGUUGGGGAUGGACUCGCGGCUUAUCAGCUUGUUGGUGGGGUAGUGGCUUACCAAGGCUUUGACGGGUAGCCGGCCUGAGAGGGUGACCGGCCACAUUGGGACUGGGAUACGACACAGACCCCUACGGGAGGCAGCAGUGGGGAAUAUUACACAAUGGGCGGAACCCUGAUGCAGCAACGCCGCGUGCGGGAUGACGGCCUUCGGGUUGUAAACCGCUUUCGCCUGUGACGAAGCGUGAGUGACGGUAAUGGGUAAAGAAGCACCGGCUAACUACGUG